rnacentral:rRNA from 1 species
AACGUAGGAGACAAACGUUAUCCGGAGUUACUGGGCGUAAAGGGCGUGUAGGUGGUUUUGUAAGUCUGGCGUGAAAUUUUUCGGCUUAACCGGGAAAGGUCGUCGGAUACUGCAGGACUGGAGGACGGUAGAGGCGUGUGGAAUUCCGGGUGUAGUGGUGAAAUGCGUAGAGAUCCGGAGGAACACCAGUGGCGAAGGCGACACGCUGGGCCGUACCUGACACUGAGGCGCGAUAGCAUGGGGAGCAAACAGG